rnacentral:rRNA from 1 species
UACGUAGGGUGCAAGCGUUGUCCGGAAUUAUUGGGCGUAAAGAGCUCGUAGGCGGUUCGUCGCGUCGGCUGUGAAAUCCCGAGGCUCAACCUCGGGUCUGCAGUCGAUACGGGCGGACUGGAGUUCGGCAGGGGAGACUGGAAUUCCUGGUGUAGCGGUGAAAUGCGCAGAUAUCAGGAGGAACACCGGUGGCGAAGGCGGGUCUCUGGGCCGAUGACUGACGUGAGGAGCGAAAGCGUGGGGAGCGAACAGG